GGGGAUGGAGCUCAGUGGUAGAGUGCUUAGGUGGUGUCUGUGAGACCCUGGGUUCAAUCCAUAGUCUCCCCA
rnacentral:tRNA from 1 species